GCAGAUGCAUGAAGUGAUUGUAAGUUUGUCUGGACAAGAAAAGAUCAUGACUUCUUUCUUCUAGGAAAAGAAGAAACCUGCCUUUUGGCUGAAUGUGGCACGUGAAAAGUUAAGAAUGGUUCUUGACCUGUCUGGUGAAAAGUUGGUGACUUGCCUGAGAAAUAAAAAAAGGUAGGAAAGAUGCUGUACAGGAGAUAGUAUCAGAGAGUUACAGCUCUGGGAUUUCAGGCAAUGCAUCCAUUCAGAGUGGCACAGGUUGAGCUGCUGCAGUCUUGCAAGAAAGCACACCAUCAGACAAGGCUUCUUCAUUCUCCAGCUCAGCUUAAAUAGCAGCUGAAAAGUUGAUUUAAGUGGCUCACUGAAGAAACCACUCUAACACACUGGUAUCCUUUCUUUCUCACAGAAGGAUGGAUAGACCUAAAAGCAAGGAUUCAUGACUGAGACAUCUCGACAUCCCUGCUGGCUGCUGCAGGAGCCAGGCAUCACUUAGACACAGUGGCUUGUAGAAGUCGAGAGGACACCACUGUCCUGCUCCCUGGAAAUGCAUCAAACUCACCCUGAAAAACAAAAACCCAACAACAAAAGCCUAAUCCCCAACAUGAACAGUAUAUCUCAACCAGUUCCUCUUCUAUCAGUUAAGAGCAGAAAUACUGGAUACCAGUAAUACCAUUAAUUGUAUUUCUAGAGAAAAAACAGCCAAAUUCUUUUGACAUAUAUCUCCUCAUCCAUACUGCUUUAGCCUGCAUAAUUUUAGUGGUCAAGCACCUACUUUGGGUAACAUUUUUCAGUCCUUGAUGGAUAGUCGCAGCAGAAAAUUAUAUCUUUCUGUCAGUAGGUAAAUAGGUUGCCUGUGUGUAUUGUCACAGUCAGGUUGGAUUCUAUAAAACUUCCCUUUCCAGAAAAAGAUAUUCAUUACUAACCACAAAAAAAAAAAAAAAAAAAAAAAAAAAAAAAAAAAAAAAUCUGUAUAAUAGUCAAACAGUCACAGAAAAAAUCAUAUUUUGCUUUAAACUUGAUUCUUUUCACACUUGCAUGAUAUAUACAUAAGCACAAUUUUAUUAGACUUGAUUUUCUCCUAGGAUAUUUCUAUGUCUGACAUAGGAAUUUCAAUAAAAGGAAUACAGAGAGACUUAGAAGUGUUAUUCGUGUUCAUUCACAUUUUGCAGAGGGGGAAAUUGCUACCCAGAAUGUAAUACUGAGGACUUUAUCUGACAUUGGAUUUAUUCUUGAUGUACAAAACAGAACUGCACCAACAUUAUACUGAUGUAAAGUUUGCAUAUGCUCAAAAUGAGGCUGUUGGUUGCUAGAGAAAUUUAGAGAUUUUUGCUUCUUUACAAAAAGUAUUGGUAACCACAAUCCACUCACUAUUUCUAGAAGCAUUUCACUUUUAAGAUGUCACAUAUAAACAGGACAAUCCAGAUUUGGAUCACACAAAACUCUGCUUGCUUUCCUGAUAGAAAUUAGCUUCAUGGAACCACAACUACAGUGAAAAACAAAGAGAUGAUAACAAUAAUAAUAAAAAAAGUUUUUAAAGCUUUGCAGUUAAGUACAAAAAAUGAGAUUUUCCUUAGAAAAAAAACACCCAAGGUGUUGAUGUUGGAAAUAACAUUUUUAAAAAGAAAACUAAGAAAACUAUUGUUUGUAAUAGAACACACCAAAUGAGACUGCUUGAUAACGUGACUGAUCUCUCUGCCCUGAUCUGUGUCAUUCCAGCCUCACAUAGAGUAGUGCAUAUAAUCUGGGUGGGACUAUUAAGGAGCUGAGAAUUACAAGAAUAAAACUGACAAGACAAAUCUCUUAUUGACUUUCACAGAUAUUCUAGGGUUGGCUCAGGAAUCCACAUAUACACUCAUCAGUUGAAAUUCAUGACAGAUUAAUGAAACAAAUUGUAACUGAGCACUGAAAUGUGCAGGUUACAUAAUCACAUCAAAGUAGGCAAGACAUUAAGAGGAGAGGAAUCAAACACUUCUACUUCAGGCAGCAUUAAAUAUUGAAAUAUCAUUGUUCUGUACAGUGUUGUACCAUGGAAACCUCCCAGUAUCUCAUCUAGUAACCCACUGGAGCAUAAGAAAAUGAAAUUAUAAGGCAAAACAUUUAUUUACCAUUUAAGCAACCUACUUGGAUCAAGUCAGCUGUUUCUCUCUGAACAAGUAA
ensembl:lncRNA